UAGGAUCUGAGUUUAGAAAAAUCUUUCCUUUGCAAGGAAAAGACGUUCCGUUAUGUAAGGAACAGGUCUUAACC
rnacentral:tRNA from 1 species